rnacentral:lncRNA from 1 species
CUAAAUCAAAAUAAAAUCAAUCCGUCCCCGCCGCCGCCUUCUUCCACAACUACCAUCACUCGCCGCCGCAACAUCUUCUUUACUUCAUCAAAGAUUCUAACUUUGCAAUCUCGGCAUCUAGAUUUGAUUCAAGUAAGAUUUUCAUGUCAAGCAAGCAUUCAUACCACACAUCAUAGUGCACUCUCCCAUUUCAUAAUCCACGGGCAAACGCUCCCAAAAAAAUCCGAUUUUUUUCUCCACUUUGAUUUCAUUUCAAAUCUCAAUUAUUUUCACCAAACCACUGUAAUUAUUCAUUUUCUUGAUGAGUUUUUAUUUAUGAGCCUUGAUUUGUUGUUUGUCUUGGAUUAUAAUUGAUCUGGGAGCAGUAGCGGAUCCCUGAUUAGAGGCCAGCUAGGGCGAUCAUUAACCUUUGACCAUUGACUGUCGGCAGUCAACGAUUGUAUUAAUAAGGUCUGUUUUACUAAAUUAUUUCUAAGGAGUUUACGAAUUUCUUGCCUAAUCCAAUUUCAUGCUUUACUGCCUAAUAUUAAAUACUUUAGAAAUAAAAUAUUAAAAAUAUCAUUUCCAGGAUAUGCAAUUUUAAAAUCAUACUAAAAUACCAUAGAAAUUCACCUUGUGAAAUCUAGCUAGUCUACUCCUUGUGCCAUUUCUUGACAUGAGAUAAUCCAACUAAUAUUUAUUUCUGCAGUUUAUUUUCUCAUUUUAAACAAGCAUAAUAUCUUUAGUUAGGGCUCUUGUGGCUUCUGCUCAGGAGAAUUCCCAAGAAUAAAUAAACAUGAUUAUUGGCAUUUUACAUUGAGAACUCGAGAUUUAAAGCUCAAUUGCCCUUGAAAUUGCAUUGUAUAAGAAAGUGCAAGUUACUUUAUCAAGUUUCAAAUGUUGAUCUCUCCAGGCUGCCUUGAGGUGGAAAUUCCAUUAUGAAUUAGGCCAAAUAAAAAUGACACACCCUACAAAAUCCAACAAAUUUAAUACACGAAACAAUCCAAAGUCAUUGAGGGUAAUAGUUAUCUUCAACAGUGUAAACAAUAUUUUAUAUAAUUAUAGAUAACAAACCUUAACUUACACUAUAAACAAUUGAUCAAAAGAAUAAUAAGAUAAUUCACAAAUUCCUCAAUUUAUCAUUCAUCACAAAUAUCACAAAUUCACAUAGUAAUUUGCAUGCUAAAUUCAUC